UACAGAGGGUGCGAGCGUUAAUCGGAAUUACUGGGCGUAAAGGGCGCGUAGGUGGUUAGAUAAGUGAGUUGUGAAAUCCCUGGGCUUAACCUAGGAACUGCAACUUAUACUGUUUGACUAGAGUACGGUAGAGGGCAGUGGAAUUCCCGGUGUAGCGGUGGAAUGCGUAGAGAUCGGGAAGAACAUCAGUGGCGAAGGCGGCCUGCUGGGCUGUUGCUGACGCUGAGGCGCGACAGCGUGGGGAGCAAACAGG
rnacentral:rRNA from 1 species